rnacentral:rRNA from 1 species
UAUACACAUGGAUAACAUACUGAAAAGUUUACUAAUACAUGAUAAUAUAUAUUUACGGCAUCGUAGAUAUAUCAAAGUGUUAGCGGUAUAGGAUGGACCCGCGUCUGAUUAGCUAGUUGGUGAGAUAACUGCCCACCAAGGCGACGAUCAGUAGCCGACCUGAGAGGGUGAUCGGCCACAUUGGAACUGAGACACGGUCCAAACUCCUACGGGAGGCAGCAGGA